rnacentral:lncRNA from 1 species
CAUGAAAAUCUUCUAACCCCACAAAUUAAAGGUUUACAAAAGAUGAAACUUUUUCUUGUUUCACGUAAAUUGCAUGUUUCAACCAAAAAUUGUAAGCUUUUCAUCACUCCAUUUCCAGAAAAGCUUCGACCUGAGUCGUCUUCCAUUCAGUGAGUAGUAAAAUGGGGGACUCCACGGGAUCCUCAUCUUUUACUUUGUCUACCCGGAUUGAGCCACAGCUAUCUUUAAAUCUGUAAAUCAUCGAUGAACACUUGGAUUGAAAAGACUGGCAACCAUUUUCAUCGAAUCAAACUUAAAACUCUCGCACUUACCAAAUCAAGAUGAUGACCUCUCGAAACGUAAUUUGCAUGUUUGAACCAAAAGUUGAAUGAUUUGUCA